rnacentral:rRNA from 1 species
ACGAUCAUACCAGUACUAAUGCAUUAGAACUCAUCAGAACUCUAAAGUUAAGCAUGAUUGUGCCAGAGCAGUACUAAGAUGGGUGACGCUUGGGAAGUCCUAGUGUUGCAUCUC